rnacentral:lncRNA from 1 species
GGGGAUUUGGAUCAGACCUCUACUGGACACCUUAUUAACACAUUUAGUUUGAUGUCUUCCAGUUUGUAGAGACUGAACUGUAGCUCAGCAGGUAGGGAUGGGGAUUUGGAUCAGACCUCUACUGUUAACACAUUUAGUUUGACGUCUUCCAGUUUGUAGAGACUGAACGGUAUCUCAGCAGGUAGGAAUGGGGAUUUGGAUCAGACCUCUACUGGACACCUUAUUAACACAUUUAGUUUGAUGUCUUCCAGUUUGUAGAGACUGAAUGGUAGCUCAGCGGUAGGGAUGGGGAUUUGGAUCAGACCUCUACUGGAC